AAUUAGAAAGCGAAGUUUUGCGUUUAGUUUCGGCCUAAAUAAUGGUGGCAACCUCUAAUUU
rnacentral:tRNA from 1 species